ensembl:misc_RNA
UAGUGCUAGUGGAAGACUUAAGAUGGCGGCGUUUGCUCGGGAUGCAACUACUGCGUCGUUACAGGGGGUUGCAAGGCGUCCGAAGUAUGACUCCACUAACAAAAGUACAGAAACUUUCCAGUUAUAUUAUUGUGG